rfam:Gossypium hirsutum cultivar TM-1 chromosome 19, whole genome shotgun sequence
UGUUAAAAAAUUUUAUUCAAUUUUACCGUUAAAAACUAGAAUGCUAACAUAAUAACCAAACAGUGACACAUAAUGUGUCACAUGUACCUCAUGCUAACAUACAAGAAUCAAUUUUUAACAAUAGAAAUGGAUGAAAUUUUUAACA